AAGAGAUCUGUACUUAGGAAUUUUAUUUGUUACUUUUGUUGAGGCAUUUGGAAUUUGUAGUUUUUGUAAUUUUAUGGUCUUUUUGGGUGGUAUUUGAUAGAGUUAGGACUGGUUUAAGAGCAAUUUAACCAAACAAAAGAGAACAGAAAUGGAGAAGGGAGAAUUGUAUUACUGGAAAUCAAUUCUCAAUACAAGAAAGAGUUUCCCUAGCAGAGAAUUCUGCCAACCAAGCUAUACAGCUGGCCAAAUAACAAAAUACACUGAACAUAUCCUCAUUAUUAAGCUAUUACCCUAUAUAUAGAUUUUCUCUGCUCUUUAAGAGUUUGUUACACCCUUACCAUGCAUUCCCAAAUUACCCUCAUUCUAUUGGACAUUCCGUUGAGUGGCAGCUGUCAUUCUCUUUUCUUGAUCUCCCUGGAUUCUUCUAGAGUAUACCUUCCAUUCCCUUUUUGCCCUUCCUUUGCCUUCCACCGCUUGAGUAUACGUAUCAGUUUUGGUGUAA
rnacentral:misc_RNA from 1 species